rnacentral:rRNA from 1 species
AUACAGAGGGUGCAAGCGUUAAUGGGAAUUACUGGGCGUAAAGCGCGCGUAGGCGGUUUAAUCAGUCGGAUGUGAAAGCCCCGGGCUCAACCUGGGAACUGCAUUCGAUACUGUUAAGCUAGAGUAUGGUAGAGGGAAGUGGAAUUCCAGGUGUAGCGGUGAAAUGCGUAGAUAUCUGGAGGAACAUCAGUGGCGAAGGCGACUUCCUGGACCAAUACUGACGCUGAGGUGCGAAAGCGUGGGGAGCAAACAGGAUUAGAAACCCUAGUAGUCC